rnacentral:rRNA from 1 species
UACGGGGGGGGUAAGCGUUGUUCGGAAUUACUGGGCGUAAAGGGCUCGUAGGCGGCCAACUAAGUCAUACGUGAAAUCCCUCAGCUUAACUGGGGAACUGCGUGUGAUACUGGAUGGCUUGGAUUUGGGAGAGGGAUGCGGAAUUCCAGGUGUAGCGGUGAAAUGCGCAGAUAUCGGGAGGAACACCCGUAGCGAGGGCGGCACUCUGGGCCGGAACUGACGCUGAGGAGCGAAAGCGUGGGGAGCAAACAGG